GUUCAUGAAACUGUUCUUACAGGGAAAUGACCGGCCUCGGGGAUCGCUGUUCCAGAGUCAUCACACUGAGAUACAUGAGCAUAGAGCAAGGCUCCCUAUUUUAAACGAGAUUAGCUUGGAAGGUUUCUGUGUACUACAAGCCCUUGUGCCCUUUUGCUAAUGUAUGAAAGAACUAGGAGGAAAAAUAGCAUACGUAGUAAUGCUUCUGGAAAGACAUAGUUUUUAUCAAGACUCUCUCCUGAGUUAAGUGGCUCUUUUUUUUUGACAGCAGUCACACUGCUGUUCUCUGAAGGGCAAGAAGCUGAAUUUUCAGGGAGCCAAUUAGGAAAUGCUUCAGAAAGAAGCCCAGUGACAGCAUCAGUCUGAGAGAUUAACUACAGUAAAGAUCCUCAAAGCCCUGGCCGCCAAGCACAAGUGAUAAAUCCUUAAGAUGGAGACAUUAAACAAGUUCACAUUGCCUGCUCCUGCACCAGCUGAAGCCCUGGGAAGUGGGAAGUGAAAAUUAUUUUUGGACUAUGUUGUUUGCUCCUCACACAGAGAUAUUGCAACAGAAAAAACAGUCAACAGAAAAAUAAACAAACAAACAAACAAACAACAACAAAAAAGACCUGACAAAAGCAGGAUGAGAAAUGGAACAGAAGGGACAGAGGGGAAAACACAUUCAGAAUGGGGGGGAAAAUCAAGGGGAAGAUACAGAGCAAAAAUCUGUUGAACGAGAAGUGCAUUAAAGAUGCUGCUGCUUGGUAGCUGUGUGUAUGCAGAGCUUAGCAGUAAUAGAGGGCACAGACUUCCAUUUCAAGACUGACACGGCACUCAGAAGUCUUUCCAUUAACUUCAAUGAGCUUUGGAUUAAGCACUUAGGGCUAAAAAAGGUUAUGCUUAAACCAAAUCUCUUCCCCCCCCCAAGAAAGGAG
ensembl:lncRNA